CAGAUAAUAAUUUAAUUUAAAAUAUUGACAUUGGAAGUCAACUAUCAAGCUUGCUUGUUAUCUGA
rnacentral:tRNA from 1 species